GUAGGUGGCAAGCGUUGUCCGGGAAUUAUUGGGCGUAAAGCGCGCGCAGGCGGUUCUUUAAGUCUGAUGUGAAAGCCCACGGGCUCAACCGUGGAGGGUCAUUGGAAACUGGAGAACCUGAGUACAGAAGAGGAAAGCGGAAUUCCACGUGUAGCGGUGAAAUGCGUAGAGAUGUGGAGGAACACCAGUGGCGAAGGCGGCUUUCUGGUCUGUAACUGACGCUGAGGCGCGAAAGCGUGGGGAGCAAACAGGAUUAGAUACCCUGGUAGUCCACGCCGUAAACGAUGAGUGCUAAGUGUUAGGGGGUUUCCGCCCCUUAGUGCUGCAGCUAACGCAUUAAGCACUCCGCCUGGGGAGUACGGCCGCAAAGGCUG
rnacentral:rRNA from 1 species